GUGGGGAAUAUUGGACAAUGGGCGAAAGCCUGAUCCAGCCAUGCCGCGUGAGUGAUGAAGGCCUUAGGGUUGUAAAGCUCUUUCAGUAGGGAAGAUAAUGACGGUACCUACAGAAGAAGCCCCGGCUAACUUCGUGCCAGCAGCCGCGGUAAUACGAAGGGGGCUAGCGUUGUUCGGAUUUACUGGGCGUAAAGCGCACGUAGGCGGAUUGGUCAGUUAGGGGUGAAAUCCCAGAGCUCAACUCUGGAACUGCCCUUAAUACUGCCAAUCUAGAGUCCGGAAGAGGUGAGUGGAACUCCUAGUGUAGAGGUGGAAUUCGUAGAUAUUAGGAAGAACACCAGUGGCGAAGGCGGCUCACUGGUCCGGUACUGACGCUGAGGUGCGAAAGCGUGGGGAGCAAACAGGAUUAGAUACCCCGGUAGUCC
rnacentral:rRNA from 1 species